UGGGGAAUAUUGGACAAUGGGCGCAAGCCUGAUCCAGCAACGCCGCGUGGAGGACGAAGGUCUUCGGAUCGUAAACUCCUGUCAGGUGGGACGAAGGCUUGGGGGUGAAUAAUCUUCAAGCUUGACGGUACUACCAGAGGAAGCCCCGGCUAACUCCGUGCCAGCAGCCGCGGUAAUACGGAGGGGGCGAGCGUUAUUCGGAAUUAUUGGGCGUAAAGGGCGCGUAGGCGGCUUGAUAAGUCAAAGGUGAAAUCCCUCGGCUCAACUGAGGAACUGCCUUUGAAACUGUCUGGCUUGAGGCCGGGAGGGGGUAGCGGAAUUCCCAGUGUAGCGGUGAAAUGCGUAGAUACUGGGAGGAACACCGGUGGCGAAGGCGGCUACCUGGACCGGUUCUGACGCUGAUGCGCGAAAGCGUGGGUAGCAAACAGG
rnacentral:rRNA from 1 species